GCCGGAAUGGUGGAAUUGGUAGACGCAGCGGACUCAAAAUCCGCCGGGGGCAACCCCUUGGGAGUUCGAGUCUCCCUUCCGGCACCA
rnacentral:tRNA from 1 species